rnacentral:rRNA from 1 species
AGUGAACGCUGGCGGCAGGCCUAACACAUGCAAGUCGAACGGCAACACAGUAAGAGCUCGCUUCUACGGGUGGCGAGUGGCGGAUGGGUGAGGAAUAGAUCGGAACCCGCUUGUACGUGGGGGAUAACGUAGGGAUACUCACGCUAAUCUGGCAUAAGUCCCACGUGACAAUGAAUGAGAUCAUGGGACCUUACGCGAUGAAAUGAGCUGAUGUCUGAUUAGCUAGCUGGCGGGGUAAAGGCCCACCUAGGCGACGAUGCGUAGCUGGACUGAGAGGGAGAUCCGCCACACUGGAACUGAGACACGGUCCAGACUCCUACGGGAGGCAGCAGUGGGGAAUAUUGGGCAAUGGGCGCAGGCCUGAUCCAGCCAUACCGCGUGAGUGAUGAAGGCCUUCGGGUUGUAAAGCCCUGUUGUUGGGAAAGAAAAACAGCACGUUUAUACCCCGAUGUUCUGACGGUACCCAAAGAAUAAGCACCGGCUAACUACGUG